GCAAGCUAGUGAGCGAUAUCUGCUACGGCAGAGGAAACUCCUCCCUUCAUACAGGAAAUGUGAUCUGGAGAUAGAUAAUCAGAGAUGGUUGGCAACAGUACAGAAAAAAUCCCACCUGGAGCACGAUGAUGGUUUUGCCUGAGAUUCCCAGAGACGGAAUGAAAACCUGUCCCACAUGAAGCAAAGCCAAACCGAACCCAAAGAUCCUGUACUAGGUUCAGGUAGGCUGCAAAGCGAAAUGUCGUUAAAACAGAAGGAGGGUUACGGCUAGCACGC
rnacentral:RNase_P_RNA from 2 species